rnacentral:tRNA from 1 species
AAAGGCUUAGGUUCAACCUCUAGACCAAAGGCCUUCAAAGCCUUAAGCAGGUGUCAAAUCACCUAGCCUUUG